CUCGUUCCUCCCGUGACUCGAGGCGGCGGCUGCUGUUGUCUCGCCUCGCCGCGGCAGUUGUGUUGCCAUAGCGCCGCCGUCUUCGAGAAGCUUCCGCCCGCCCCCUGCUGCCGCCGGCGCGGCCUCCACCUCAGGUUCUAUUGAUGGCAACUUCACUUAUUAAGGCUCAACAUGUGCCGCCAUACUGAUUGGGCAAGCAGGGAAAACUAGAGGAAGAUGAGAAGCUCUUCAAGGCAGCACUGCAUGAAGCUAAAGAAGGAUUUGGACCGAGAAAUCCACAUUAUGCAUCGCUUGAGUGCUCAUUUAAGUCCAUAAGCUAGCUUAUUAGAUUGCCGAGGUGCGAGCACCACAUGGGUGUCCAUUUGCUAAUCCACGACCUGGGUAUUCCAACCAAGGAUACUCGUUUGCAAUACCGCGUUGUAUUCAUGCAUAACUAUUAUGUUUUAUGUCAUCAUCUCAUGGUCAUGAAAUAGCUCUCUUCGGUUUGAUUUGGGUCAA